UACGUAGGGGCAAGCGUUGUCCGGAUUUAUUGGGCGUAAAGAGCGUGUAGGCGGUUUGGUAGGUCCGCUGUGAAACUCGAGGCUCAACCUCGAGACGCCGGUGGAAACCAUCAGGCUAGAGUCCGGAAGAGGAGAGUGGAAUUCCUGGUGUAGCGGUGAAAUGCGCAGAUAUCAGGAAGAACACCCGUGGCUAAGGCGGCUCUCUAGUACGGUACUGACGCUGAGACGCGAAAGCGUGGGGAGCGAACAGG
rnacentral:rRNA from 1 species